AUGAGAGGGAUGAGAUGGAGUGCCACGUCAAAUAGCAAACACAAAGAUCCUCUCAAUGAUGAGCACUGCUCACACAGCAGCAGUAAUGGGAGCUACAACUGGCACGGAUCCAUGGUCCCCAGCUUAUUUCAAGAUCAGAGCAAAACACAGAAGAUGCCAAAUGAUAAAUAUUUGACUUUCAAAGAUGUAAAAAGAAGAGCAGCAUCAAGGGAAUCAAUCUCUUGGGAUGUCCUGUGGUCUGAAUGUACAUUUUGUAUUGCUGAGAUAGGAGCUGGGGAUGUGGUGUGUAAAAAUGUGGGUUUUACAAGGAAAAAGAAUCAUCCAGGAGACCUCUGGGAAAUCACAGGAUGUGUGUACACCUUAUGAUCCCUUGUUUGAGUUGGUCCUAUUUAUCUAAACCAGGUGCUGUGUGACGCCUUCAGCCUCAGCCAUGGGGAAUGUGAUGCACACCAGUGUUGGCAGACUGGCUGGAAGAUUGAGGAGUGGGACAAACACUUGGUGCAAACCCAUGAGCUUCACACAGCCCAGCCUGAUCUGAACCAGCACAUGUGGUGAGACCCUAGAACAGGCUGCCCACUGAGGUUGUGGAUACUCCCUACCUGGCAGCGCUCAGGGUCAGGCUGGAUGGGGCUGUGAGCAACCUGGUCUCAUGGGAGGUGUCCCUGCCUGUAACAGAAGGGUUGGAGCUAGAUGAUCUUAAACAUCCCCUCCAACUCAAACUAUUCUAUGAUUAUAGCUGUGUAGGCAGGAGACAGAGCAAUCAUGGAUCAAUCCUUCCUCCCAGCAGCUCCCAGGCUCUCUCAGGAGCACUAAGAGUGGUCUGUGUGUACUCAGCAAGGCCAACUUUUCACACCCCAUUAGCCCAGAUGUGAUGAACCUCACUUUCCACAGCCAAUUCUGCUGAUGGAGCUGACCAAGAUUUUUUUAUUCCCAGCUGAACGGUCUUCUCUCAAAGAAAAGCAAAUUCAGCAAAAUAUAUUUUUUGUUGACAUUUUUUAUGGGUAAUUAUUGAAACACUUCCAUUUUAGCAUUUGGCCAAUUCUGUCUCAUCUGGCAUGAAGUAAUCAAAAUCCAGUAGAGAAGCCCUCACUGGAAUUACCUCUUUCAACCAUUUUAUGCAGUUCUCCUUCAAGAAGGCUGUCCUGAGAUUCCCAAGCUGAAAUAGAAUGGGAUGGGAUGUUGCCUCUCACCCUACACUUUGACAGUGCUUUUCAUUUUGCUUUGGGACUUUCCUCCACAACACACAAAUAUUGCUCCAGAAAGCUGCAUUUCUAAGGAGGAAGGUUGUCUUGUGCCAACUGAAUCACAGACGGGAUGGUUUGACUCAAGGCGUGUAGAAAUUCACAGUUGCCACAGCAAGGCUCCUCAUGCAGCCAAGGCAAUGCAGGGAGGAGUCGAUGAAGGGAGACCUGUGUGGUUUUAUAGUGACAGAUUUCUUUGCAUAAUGCAUUUUGGGUGAAGUUUCAGGUUUAUUUUGUACUUAUCUGAUGUCAGAAGAGUACAUAUUAAGUCUUCAAAAAAAGAAAAAAAAAAAGGUUUUUUUUUUGUAAUCAGCUUAUUGCAGCCUUCCAUGUAUAAUAACACAGUUAUAUGGCAGUAAACCUGGAAUCCUACAGGAGUUUGUUGUAAAGUGACAGAUUCAGGUCAAAGCUGUUAAUGAGCAGCCAGGCUGAUGUGUAAUGCAUAAUGAAGAAGAAAAUGACAUUAUUGUUUUACAGGUGAGCUCAGAAAGUUAGGAUAUGCCAGGUCCAUUAGAGCAACUGUGUUUCUUGAAGUUUAAUAUCUUGCCUCUGGCCAGUACCUGAUAGCUCAGAAAAACUUGGGCUAUUUUAUUGCUGAUAACUAAAGGCACGCUGUAGAUACAUGGUUUUUGGCUACUUAGCUCCCUCCUCCCUGGCAACAAACCCUAAAUGUCCCAGUUGUCUUUUCUGUAGGUGCAGACUUUGAAGGGUGCUGGUAUGGGGUGGGUAUGACCAUUCAGACCCAUAUUUUUUUCUUUGCUCUGCCACUGUGAGACCCAAUGCAGCUGUUUCAAUGUCUGUUCUGCCUUUCUUAUCUGAAAUGAAUGCUUUUUGGGGAAUGCGUUUCUCAUGCCCCUGUUGUCUAGUUGGCUUUUUUGUUUCCUAAUGCUUCUUUGUACUUAUUUUCAUUAAUUGGAGCCUAUAAUGAAUGCACAAGUAAUACUGGCCUGAAAAAAAAAAAAACCAAACAAACAACAAAACAUUGCUCACCCCAUGAGGAAUAUCAAAGUAGUAAAAAAGCACUUUGGAAACGGGAAGAGAUGCAAAAAGACAAAAGCAAUCAUUUCUGUUCAGCAUUUCCUGGGAAGAAAGGGCAGCAAGCAAAUACCCUAACAAACAGUUGACAAGCAGGUCCUCCUCUGUGAGACUGACCCCUGAAAGAUGAUUGGGAACUUCAGCUGUUGUCACACGCGUUUUCUUCUUAAUUGGUGCUCUCCUGAGAUGCUGCUUGAAACGAGGUCUCCUUUCUGUUAUGUCUCUGAAAUGCCAUCCACUCUGGUGUCUUGGUGCAUGACUGAGGUCCCCCAGUGCCACAUCUGAGAUAUUAAUUCUCAUUAAGAAGUGAUGCAAUUUGUGUCCGUUUGGAUACUUGCUGUGCUUUUCACUGGCUGUUCUGGGUGCAGUGUAGGAAUUCAUAUCAGUCUAUUGCCCACUGCUUGAGAUGACUGAACCCAACCCAGACACUGAAAUUAAAGAAGUAAUUCAGGCUAGUAAGUUGCUUUGGGAUCUCAGCCCUCCCAGGCCUUUAUGUCCCUGAGAUGUGGGAUUCCCCUAGAACUCAACACCCAUUACCAGUUAUUGACAACUAGGGAUCUGAGGCAGAAAAAUAUGUUGUCAUGAUCUUAACUCGUGGUUUUGAACGGUCCUUUUGACUUUCACACAUGCUCAGUAUUGCAACCCUCAGUGCUCAGCACCACGCAGGACUGAGCCCUCACUAAUCCUUCUAAACCCAAGUCUAUUGACUUUCAAAGCAAACCGCAAGGGCUUCUUAUCUACAUUUCCUGAGCAAGCUGCUUGCUUAGGCUGAGCCUUUUGCAUUAGUCUUCACCAGAGUUGAUUUUGAGCAGCGAACAUGAUUAGAUUUUCAUAUCAAGAGAGACUGAAAGCAUGGAGAUGGUUGCCAAACAUCCAGGAGUAAGUCAGGAGCGAACUCCCUUCAUCAAGCGGUUUGUGAAAACACAGCAAGAUCAGAAUUAGUGCCUAAUCCCAACCCAGAUAAUAUCCAGGUUUUGUUUUCUCACUCUGGAAUGAAACUUAACAGAACCCUGAGUCUGAGUGUCUUAGGGAGGCUUGAAAACCAGAUCUCAGUUGUUAGCUGCAUGACAUUUGUAUAAUCUGAUCCUGUCAUCACAUUGCAGAACAAGAUUCAGCCCUAAAUUACACCACAACCCAACUCAGACAAGCUGCGUGUCGUCAAGAAGCCUGCCCCAGAAAACAGGCUGAAAUAAGGAUUGUUUUGCCUCUAGAAUAUUUCUGUUGCUGGCUUCUCUUUGCACCAAAAUCAGGCAAAGGCAGUGCUUUUAGGCUCGACCUGAGCAUUUGGGGUGUCUCAAGAUUAACACUAAAUCCAUGCCAUGGUAACACAUUGCUGUAUAUCUUUGUUAAGGUCACUACCAGAGCCUGUGAGAGUGGGGCACUCAGGCAGCAAAACUGUCAGGGAAAAUAAAAGCAUAUCUAGAAUAGCA
ensembl:lncRNA